AAGUAGGAAGCAAAUUCUUGCAUUUAGUUUCGACCUAAAAAUUUGAUGAUUCCAUCCCUACUUA
rnacentral:tRNA from 1 species